rnacentral:rRNA from 1 species
UACGGAGGGUGCUAGCGUUGUUCGGAAUCACUGGGCGUAAAGCGCGUGUAGGCGGCCCAUCAAGUCUGAUGUGAAAGCCCGGGGCUCACCCCCGGAAGUGCAUUGGAAACUGUUGGGCUCGAGUCCCGGAGAGGAGGGUGGAAUUCCUGGUGUAGCGGUGAAAUGCGUAGAUAUCAGGAGGAACACCAGUGGCGAAAGCGGCCACCUGGGCUGUACCUGACGCUGACACGCGAAAGCUAGGGGAGCGAACGGG